GGGAGACCCUUGGCUUCCUCACCCUCUGGGUGGCUCCUCCCUGGCUCCGCGGGUCUGCAGUCUGUGGCCAGCCCUCUUUAUCUUGUCCCCAAGUUUCCACUGCUAUCAGCCAUUAUCUAGCGCCAUCCCGCCCCAGCGGGCAGAGCAGGAAGCCGGCCCGUGAGUCUCCUCUCCACUCUCCAUCCUCUUCCUUCUCCAGAGACAAAAGCCAAAACAGCCCGCUAACAGAUCCGCGUUUCCCUUGGCUCCUUGACUCCCACUUCCCACUCUCAUUUUUUCACAGGCUCCGGUUUUCCAGAGUCAGGCUGUCCUCAGGAGCCACUGCGUCCCCAGGCCUGAAGGCCCCGCUCUGUCACUUCCUCUAGGCCUGUCUGCAGAGCACCCGGCAUGGCCUCCAAAGCCAAAGUCUCCUGCUCCUUCUUAUCCUCUUUGAGAUCAGUCCAGCCAGAAAUGGCCCUGCCGGCUGGCCGUCUGGCUGUUGGAGCCAGGCUGGGCUGGACAGAGCUCUGGCCUUCCUCAUUAGCAAGGUCUCCCUGGCCCUUCCUCUCCCUGGCGAGGCUGUGACUCCGAUUAUAGCUGCAAAGCUGCUAGAGGGUUUUUUUUUUUUUCUUUUUCUUUUUGGUCAAAGAGCAUCACGCAUCGUUUAUGAUUUCACCAUUCACUCUGACAUGUACUAUGUGCUUCCUAGGCUGCUGCUGGGACCCAGAGAAGAGCAAAGUAAGACCUCGGCCCUUGAAGAGUGGUUACCCUCACAAGACGACAGAGCCUAAUGCAUGGUAGGAGUGCUCGGUGCAAGGAGAGGGGUGAAAGCAAGUGCUCUGAGCACACACAGGAGGAAGAGGCGGGUGCUCCCCAGGAGCACUGCGCAAAGCACUCGGUGUAGCUGUCUCAUUUAAUGCUGGAGGCAAACCUGUGGGCAGGAGUGAUUAUCACCCAGAACUUAUAGCAGGAGAGACUGAAGCUUACAAAGCUUAGUGAAGCCUUGUCACUCAGUGAGGACUACACUUGUCCCCAGAUGCCAUCUCCCCUCGGUCUUCCCCUCUGCUCCAGCCCUGUGGUCUCUUGGUUGAGACAGUGAGCUGGUAAAUAUCUUUGGCUCAACAUACUUAGUUACAUCUUGGGUCUUAGUCUUCCUCCUCUGUAAAAGGGGGUGAUAACUUACCUCCUAGGUUUGUUGUGGGUUUUAUUUUAUUUUGGAGGGUACUAGGCACUGAACCCAGGGACACUUUAACCCUGAGCUACAUCUCUAGCCCCACCCCUUUUGAUACAGGAUCUUGCUAGGUUCUGAGACUGGCCUCUAACUUUUGAUCCUCCUGCCUCAGCCUCCUGAGUGGUUGGGAUUACAGGUGUGUGGCACCAUGCCUCGAUAGUUGUGGAUUUUAAGUGCAUAAUGAGCUCAGACAGUGACUGACACAGAAUACCCCCUGGAUGUGAUUGUUUUUGUAAUUACUGUUCCACUACCAGAAGUUAUCCCAAGAAGGGAUCUUCAGGGGGGUGGCUGAGGAGCUGGUUUUGUGUGACUCUUCUCUGCCCACCCCUGACCCUGAGGCAGGGGUCUGACCAGAUGCACAGCCCAGGUUUGCCUCUCCAUUUCCCUCUCUGGCUCAGGAGAGUCUCCCCAGUGCUCAAAGAGCCUGCCAGUUUCAGUCAUCUGGCCCUGAAGGAACCUGAGUCCCUUUGCUGGUGAUCACCUAGCUUCAUUUUUCUUUUAGUUAAAACUGUGCCAGAAUGUCGAUGUUGAAUCAGGG
rnacentral:lncRNA from 1 species